AAAGUGAGAGUGUUUUCUAUGCGAUGAUUAGUUCUUGAAAAUGUUGUGUCUUAUCUCAUACUUGAAGGCUGCUAGUAGCUGAUUUUGGACCGAAGAUUACUGUUAAGAUCGUGGGGAGUUUAACUGAUUUAGGUUUAAAGUUUAUCUUCUUUGUAGAAUAUCUUGAAAAGGAGUGUGCUGGACAUUUUAACUAAGAAAUCAAAGAAAACAGAGAUUCAACUUGGUUUCAAGUUGGUGAUAUUGUAACAUUGAUAUUACAUGCAUUGCUAUGUGGUGUUCUAAUUUGGAAGCAUUUGUGUCUUAUACAAGGAAACCAGCCUUGAUCAUGAUUGCAGGUGUUAAUGGAUGCUGUGAAAAGAGGUAAAGAGCAAGGAGUUGAUGUUGUCUUGUGUCAUAGUCAUACAUCUGGAUGUUUACUCACUAACUACAGCUUGAUGGAAGAAUCGAUUGCUAGCAAAAAAACUGUAACCAAAAUUGUUUCUGGUGCACCAAAUGUUUUAUCUAGGAAUGUUGUAACUUGCUAGACAUCCAACGUCUUAUGAUGAACUUUUACAGAAGAUCCUUUUGGUUCUAGAUGGAACAACUGGGUUGCAUAUGCUUCCACAAGCAAAAGGGAGUUCAAUGAGGCAGUUGCAAUAACUGGUUUGAAUGUGACAAAGCUUGAUCCCAGAGGAGGCUAUGUGCGGGUGAUACAUUUAGGGCCACUGCUAGUGAUCAUCUAGAGAUUUGGGCAGAGAGGACAUGAUGUGAGAUUGUGGUGGCUGAAAAGGAAAAUGCCAAGGCAGCAUCGGGUGAUACAUUUAUGGCAGCGGUAGGAAACUGUCAAGGAACACUAGGUAACUUAAAUUUAUGAGUCUUAUAUAGUUUAGCAUAUCUUUUUGGUGAUAAAAAUUGAUUUGAUGUUGUCUUGUGUGAUCAUCUUGAGGUAAGAAUUUGAACCACAUGAAAUUAAUAAAUAAAAGAAUCAUGGAGAUGCGGGGGAUCGAACCCCGUGCCUCUCGCAUGCAAAGCGAGCGCUCUACCAUUUGAGCUACAUCCCCAUGU